GAUGAACGCUGGCGGCGUGCCUAAUACAUGCAAGUCGAGCGAACAGAUAAGGAGCUUGCUCCUUUGACGUUAGCGGCGGACGGGUGAGUAACACGUGGGUAACCUACCUAUAAGACUGGGAUAACUUCGGGAAACCGGAGCUAAUACCGGAUAACAUUUGGAACCGCAUGGUUCUAAAGUGAAAGAUGGUUUUGCUAUCACUUAUAGAUGGACCCGCGCCGUAUUAGCUAGUUGGUAAGGUAACGGCUUACCAAGGCGACGAUACGUAGCCGACCUGAGAGGGUGAUCGGCCACACUGGAACUGAGACACGGUCCAGACUCCUACGGGAGGCAGCAGUAGGGAAUCUUCCGCAAUGGGCGAAAGCCUGACGGAGCAACGCCGCGUGAGUGAUGAAGGGUUUCGGCUCGUAAAACUCUGUUAUUAGGGAAGAACAAAUGUGUAAGUAACUAUGCACGUCCUGACGGUACCUAAUCAGAAAGCCACGGCUAACUACGUG
rnacentral:rRNA from 1 species